rnacentral:rRNA from 1 species
UACGUAGGGUGCAAGCGUUUGUCCGGAAUUAUUGGGCGUAAAGAGCUCGUAGGCGGUUCGUCGCGUCGGCUGUGAAAACCCGGAGCUCAACGUCCGGGCCUGCAGUCGAUACGGGCGGACUCGAGUUCGGCAGGGGAGACUGGAAUUCCGUGGUGUAGCGGUGGAAAUGCGCAGAUAUCAGGAGGAACACCGGUGGCGAAGGCGGGUCUCUGGGCCGAUACUGACGCUGAGGAGCGAAAGCGUGGGGAGCGAACAGG